CACCAGCAAGGAAUCUGCCAAAAUCUUGAGCUUUGUUUUGUCCUUGGGAAUUCUUACCUACAGGAAGUUGAUGUUGCUUCUUCUGAAAGUGCUUAUGACCCU